AGUGAACGCUGGCGGCAGGCCUAACACAUGCAAGUCGAGCGGCAGCGCGUCCGACCACCCUCGGGUGGUCGGAUGGCGGCGAGCGGCGGACGGGUGAGGAAUGCAUCGGAAUCUGCCUCGUUGUGGGGGAUAACGUAGGGAAACUUACGCUAAUACCGCAUACGACCUACGGGUGAAAGUGGGGGACCUUCGGGCCUCACGCGAUGAGAUGAGCCGAUGCCGGAUUAGCUAGUUGGCGGGGUAAAGGCCCACCGAGGCGACGAUCCGUAGCUGGUCUGAGAGGAUGAUCAGCCACACUGGAACUGAGACACGGUCCAGACUCCUACGGGAGGCAGCAGUGGGGAAUUUUGGACAAUGGGCGCAAGCCUGAUCCAGCAAUGCCGCGUGAGUGAAGAAGGCC
rnacentral:rRNA from 1 species